CGAAAAACACACUAUCAUCACCAAUCUAGUGAUCAUCCAGACGCUUAGAAAACCUCACUAUAUAUACAGUCACGAAACUGUAAUCAAUAUGGAGGUGGAGGAGGUCCGCCGUGGUGGCCAUGAGGUCCAGGUGGCCCACCGUGGUGGCCAUGAGGUCCAUGCGGUCCGCCGUGAGGGCCAUGAGGUCCGGGAGGCCCCCCAAACGCAGGUCCGCAGCAGCUCUCAAAGAUGCAACAGCAAAAUAGUAGAUAGCAACUGCAAUCGCAAUAAAGUGAAUAAACCUCACAACUUGACUACUUCCUUAUUGAAACGUACAAAGGGACGCUAAAAUGGCCUAGUUCUGUAUUCAUUUCUAGAGACAGAUUUGCUACUGAGUAUGCAAGUAUAUAUUUACAGUAUCACUUAC
rnacentral:lncRNA from 1 species